CCUACGGGAGGCAGCAGUGGGGAAUAUUGCACAAUGGGGGAAACCCUGAUGCAGCGACGCCGCGUGAGUGAAGAAGGAAUUCGUUAUGUAAAGCUCUAUCAGCAGGGAAGAAAAUGACGGUACCUGAGUAAUACGCCCCGUCUAACUACGUGCCAGCAGCAGCGGUAAUACGUAGGGGGCAAGCGUUAUCCGGAUUUACUGGGUGUAAAGGGAGCGUAGACGGUAGUGCAAGUCUGGAGUGAAAGGCGGGGGCUCAACCCCAGGACUGCUCUGGAAACUGUACGGCUGGAGUGCAGGAGAGGGAAGUGGAAUUCCUAGUGUAGCGGUGAAAUGCGUAGAUAUUAGGAGGAACACCAGUGGCGAAGGCGGCUUGCUGGACUGUAACUGACGUUGAGGCUCGAAAGCGUGGGGAGCAAACAGGAUUAGAUACCCUUGUAGUC
rnacentral:rRNA from 1 species